UAAAUGUAGCCGUAAAUAGGCUUAGUAGUGGCGAGGAGGUGGAGGGGACUUGAAGUAGUGUGGGGGAGGAGAGUGAGUAGGGGGAGGAGGAGACUUGAGGAGAUAAGGAGGAGGAGGUGAAGGAGAUGAUGGAGGGGGAGACUUGUAGACAUAUGGAGGUGGUGGUGACGGGGAAGGUGGAGGUGGGGACUUGUAGUGAUAUGGAGGUGGAGGUGAGGGUGAGGGUGGUGGUGGUGACUUAUAAAUGUAGGGUGGAGGAGGUGAUGGGGAAGGAGGAGGCGGGGACUUGUAGACGUAUGGAGGUGGUGGUGAUGGAGAUGGAGGAGGUGGAGGCUUCUAAAUGUAAGGAGGAAAAGGUGAUGGAGAUGGUGAUGGAGAUGGUGUUGGAGAUGGUGUUAGAGACGGUGAUGGAGAGGGUGAUGGAGAUGGUGUUGGAGAUGGUGAUGGAGAUGGUGGAGAUGGUGUUGGAGUUGGUGAUGGAGAUGGUGUUGGAGAUGGUGAUGGAGAUGGUGGAGAUGGUGUUGGAGAUGGUGAUGGAGAUGGUGUUGGAGAUGGUGAUGGAGAUGGUGGUGGUGGUGACUUGUAAGGAGGUGGAGGUGAGGGUGAGGGUGGCGGGGGAGACUUGUAGUGAUACGGAGGAUGUAUCACAUGCUUGGGUGGUGGCGGAGGUGGUGACUUGGGAUGUGGCCAAUAUGGUGAUGACUUGGGCGGUGGUGGAGGUGGUGACUUAGGCGGUGGUGGAGGUGGUGAAAACUUGGGCAGUGGCCAAGGUAGUGGCCAAUAUGGUGAUGACUUGGGCGGUGGUGGAGGUGGUGACUUAGGCGGUGGUGGAGGUGGUGACUUAGGCGGUGGUGGAGGUGGUGAAAACUUGGGCAGUGGCCAAGGUAGUGGCCAAUAUGGUGGUGACUUGGGCGGCGGCGGAGGUGGUGACUUGGGCGGUGGCGGAGGUGGUGAUGACUUGUAAGGAGGUGGAGGGUGGCCAGCAUGAAGAAGAGGUAUGUUGGAAAUAGGAGGUUGGUAUAUGGGAAGAAUGGCAUGAACACUAGUAGUAGUUAAGAAGCAGAAUGCCAAACAAUAAAACAUGGUAAUGAUGAGCGAAAAAGGCCUUGGCUUUCCCAAGGCUCCCAUUUCUGCUCUUCGUACAACUAGCUUGUUUGUAGUGAGUGGUAGUAGUAGAUGUGAUUUCUAAGCUUGAUAGCUAACCCUUUUAUAGUAAUUUUUGUACUCGUUUUGGGACGUGACAUGGUUUAUUUUUUUCAGGAUAACAGGUUGAAAGUCUACUGUUAAUAAUGACUUGAUCCAAAUUAAUGAAACUUGGAGAUUUUAAAAAUAAUGCCAAUGAAUGAAAGUCUACUGUUCCUGUGGAUUAGUGAGGUUUGUAUUUCAAGUCUCUCGUAUGCAUGGAGGCCAUGAUGUGAUUCGUGUUAGGCAUGAUAAGUUAAUUCAUACGUGUUAGGCAUGGUAAGUUAAUUCGUGUUAGGCACGAGUAGAAUUUGGUUUUGCAUGGUAGGCAAGUUAAUAAUUCGUGUUAGGCAGCUGGAAAAAUCUCUCUCUCUCUCUCUCUCUUCUUCUUCUUCUUCUUCUCUCACUCUAUGAAAUUAUGUACUUAUUUACAAAUUCAUAAACCCAAAAAUCACAUAAUGAAUUAGUCCAAAAACAAACAACACCUAGAAAUCGUAUUUCUUUGAAAUCAAAUUCAUUUGAUAGCUAAAUUAAAAGCUAUUUAUUUUCCUUAUUCUCCUGCAAAUUUGUUGAUUGUAAUAUAGAGAAAUAAGGGUCUCCCGCACAGGAUUAAAUUAAACUAAAAGCUUCAACAAAUGUCACAAAACGUGACUGCAGCUCCUAUUGAACAGCAGUCGAAAAAUAAAAGAAAAACCUAACCUAUAAUGCUCAGAAAAACACGAAAAUUUGCAGAGAUGUACUAGACACAUAGAGCGUCUAGCACACAAAAUGUGAGAUGAUUUGGAGUUGAUUUGAUAGGGAAAUAAAAUAUGGGAAGAUGACAGACAAGAUAAGAAAACUGAAAACUGAUUUCAAAUUGGUUGAGAAUCAAGAUAAUGAGACUAGCUAAGGAGGAAGUAUCCACCCCCGACAAUCACACAUAACACACUUUGUCCAAUUUGUGACCAACUAACUCAAUUGAAGAUGCUCUCGAUACGCUUGAGCACAAUCUAUUACUCUUUCUUACUUUAUACAUUAGGCAGGAAGUGCUUUACACCUAAACUAUUCUCAAACAUUGUAACAUAAAGGUACUUUUAUUAGGUUAAACAAGCAGAGAUCAAUAAACUUGAAAAGAGUUUGAGCAAUCACUAGGCGUCGCAAUAAACUUAGUGCCUUGCUAAACCUAGGGUUUC
rnacentral:lncRNA from 1 species